ensembl:lncRNA
CCUCUCUUGAUCCUGGUGGAUGGUGACUUGGUGGGAAGCACAGUGGCUCCCUGCCCACAGCUGUGCCUCUGGUGCUCCUCUCGCCCUCCUCUCUCAGGCUCAGCAAGUCAACCAUACUGUUUGCUGAUGGCUUUGUGCUGCAGACCCAGAGAAGCCGGGGGAGUGGUCUUCUCCUCCAUGGGCUCCGAAGGUGUUUGCAUCAGUUACCGGAGCCCGGAGAUUUAAAGGUUGGGGGAGAAGGCUGUGCAGAGGGAGGCGUGGCUGGCACCCUGUCAGACUCAGCCCACAGAUGCACAGGAGCCCGAGCGCUGAGCACAUCACCCUCCUUGCGGGACCUGAGGGUCCGUCCCUCUUCUUGAUCCACUUGGCUGCUGGUCCACCUUCUGUGCCUGAAUUAGCCGCUCCAAAUCCUCCCCAUUCCCUCCCCUGUCAAAGGCCUGUCACCCUCGUGGGCCGUUUGAGGACGUGCAUCUGAACGACAAGCUGCCUGGACUCGGGUCCAGCGAUUCUGCCUGGGCGACGGGUGUGUGAAGAUGACCCACCAGAGCAUCAGUGACAUGGAGCAGAGGCAGGAGCCACAGCAGCUUGUGGGGGUGAGCUUGUUCCGUGUCCAGGAAAGUUCACGCGUGCGUCCACCUGCUGAUAGGACCAGGUACCCACAGCAGCCAGCCCCUGUUCUAGGCGCAGAGAGCCCAGUGGGCAGGAGGGUGGCCCUGUCCGCGGCCUUGGGACGGACGCUAGGCGGAGAGUCAGAUACAGCAUGGCAGGAACACCACGAGUAGAACAAAGCAGGCGGCCUGGGAGAAGGUAAGGGUUUGGAUCUCUGUGUGUGAGUGCUAAUGACCGGUAACAACCACCACAGCAGCCGAGGUGGGCUGGCACAGGACCUGGUGCCUUUGCUGUGAUGAAGCUUCUCGCCAGGAGCCUGUGGGUGCGUGUGGGUUACGUGAGCCGCGUCCUGGGGACAGAUCCUCUGUCCUGUGAGCUCAGCUCUGCUGCCCUCACUCCGCUGGAGCCACCGAGAGACUCGGCGCCUGUCGGCAGCUCCAGAUGCCCCAGGACACUGACGUGGGAGACUCGCUCUGGUCCAGAAUCAGCAGUGUCCUCUGCUGAGAAGCAUCCUUGCCUCCUGGGCUCUGAAAGCGCCUCCAGCCAAGAUGCGGAGGGCCCAAUAUCCCCAAGAACUGACAGGACAGUGACCAUGAGGCUGAGGGAGAAUUGAGUGGAAACAAGCCAGUUGUGAGGUUCGUUCUCAAUCUUUCUCUCUCACGUCACUGAUCUUUGUUAUCACAACGAGCGAGAGUGACUCAAGUCACUGGAAAUAUGGCCAAAUUGAGUGUUUUCUUCUGGAAAGGACGACGUCUGUAACUCCGGGCGACUGGAGAGAACCAGGACACACGGACGCUCACUGUCCCCAGGGCGGCUCCUGCCCUCGGGCCGUCAAGUUCGUCUCAGUCAGCAGAGCUGAACAAGGUCUGGUAUCCGCUUCGAAACAGAUGGCAGUGAGGUGCGGGGUACAGUGAUCUCCAACACGGCACGGCCGACGGUGCCCGGACCUGGGCGUCUUCCCCACCCCUGCCCCG